rfam:Trichobilharzia regenti genome assembly, scaffold: TRE_scaffold0087807
GUACUACUGAAGAGUCCCGAACUAGUAGGACGAAACAGCUGUCCAGUAC